rnacentral:rRNA from 1 species
UACGUAGGUGGCAAGCGUUGUCCGGAAUUAUUGGGCGUAAAGGGCGCGUAGGCGGUACCCUAAGUCAGAUGUGAAAUCCCGGGGCUUAACUCCGGACGUGCAUUUGAAACUGGGGAACUCGAGUGCAGGAGAGGUAAGUGGAAUUCCUAGUGUAGCGGUGAAAUGCGUAGAUAUUAGGAGGAACACCAGCGGCGAAGGCGACUUACUGGACUGUAACUGACGCUGAGGCGCGAAAGCGUGGGGAGCAAACAGG